GCAGGCCCUAACCACACAUGCAGACCCCUCCUUACCCGCUGCACCUCACACUCCCGCUGCUCAGCAUGAGGGACGCCUAGGGCAGGCUUGGCAGGAAGGUGAGGCCUGGGACUGGUGAGGCUGGGGCAAGGGUUUAGCGGGAAGUUGAGCCCUGGGGUUGGUGAGGCUGGAGCGGGCUUGCCGGAAGGUGAGGCCUAGCAUGAGCUUGGCGGGAAGGUGAGGCCUGGGGUUAGCGAGGCCGGCACGUGCUCAUGCCUCAACUGCCCAGGGGAGGAGGCCGAGGUCAUGGUAGGAGGCACCUCACCUGCUGAGGACAGAGACAAAGCAGCUCUCUCUGCUGGACAUAAAGCAUGGCCGACUGCCAUGCUCUGGUCAGCAGGCGGAAGGAUCCAGAGAGCAGGGUGUGCAGCCUCAUUGCCCGCCAGAGGUCACAGAAUCUUGCACAUGAUAACCCAACCCGGAACCCUUGCUGUGCACCCCCAACUACAGUACCCAGAAUUCUUGGCCUUACAGCCCACACCCAGGACUACAGUACCCAUUAGACUGCCUGCCCCAAUCAUAGAACUACACUACCCAGAAUCCUUGGUGUGAC
rnacentral:lncRNA from 1 species